GGCAAAGAGGGAGAAGUAGAGACACCUCUGAAUCGGAUAGGUAAGUUAGCGGCAAAAGAAGAAGAAAACAACAGCCAGCACUGCAAUUUCUCCUGUUACCGCUCCUUUCAUCUAUGGCCCCCAAGGCCAAAACGGAUGUUUCAAGAUACCUAUUGUUGCCGACACUUAACGGGAGAGAAAUUCUUACAUACUGGCUAAGAUGUGCAUCAGUCAAAUGGUGCUGAGCAUAAUUCAAAGAGGAGGAAGACAAUUUACUUCCUGUUUCCCAGGAGCUCACAAUCUAGUUUACAAUGGAGGAAAAUACAGUCUCCUAAAUUGGUGUGUUUUCCAUUAUUUCUUACCACCUCUCUUGGACCUUUUAAGGACCAUGUGGAGUAUGCAAUGGAUGUUUUUUCCAAGAAAGGGUUACUAGCAGACAAGAACAAUGUGCUAACCACCAGUCGUUAAGGGGUAAGUCUCUAUAUUCAUUGACAUGACGGGAG